rnacentral:rRNA from 1 species
GGCUCAGAACGAACGCUGGCGGCGUGCCUAACACAUGCAAGUCGAACGUGAUUAGAGAGCUUGCUCUCUAUGAAAGUGGCGCACGGGUGAGUAACGCGUAGAUAAUCUGCCUGAUGAUCGGGGAUAACACUUCGAAAGGGGUGCUAAUACCGGAUAAGCUCACGGAGUCCUUGGACUCUGCGAGAAAAGGGGGGGACCUUCGGGCCUUCUGUCAUCAGAUGAGUCUGCGUACCAUUAGCUAGUUGGUAGGGUAAAGGCCUACCAAGGCGACGAUGGUUAGCUGGUCUGAGAGGAUGAUCAGCCACACUGGAACUGAGACACGGUCCAGACUCCUACGGGAGGCAGCAGUGGGGAAUUUUGCGCAAUGGGGGAAACCCUGACGCAGCAACGCCGCGUGAGUGAUGAAGGCUCUUGGGUCGUAAAGCUCUGACAGAGGGAAAGAAAUGUAUUGCGGCUAAUACCUGCGAUACUUGACGGUACCCUCAAAGGAAGCACCGGCUAACUCCGUGCCAGCAGCCGCGGUAAUACGGGGGGUGCAAGCGUUGUUCGGAUUUAUUGGGCGUAAAGCGCGUGUAGGCGGUUUGGUAAGUCUGAUGUGAAAGCCCUGGGCUCAACCCGGGAAGUGCAUUGGAUACUGUCAGACUUGAAUACGGGAGAGGGCAGUGGAAUUCCUAGUGUAGGAGUGAAAUCCGUAGAUAUUAGGAGGAACACCGGUGGCGAAGGCGGCUGCCUGGACCGAUAUUGACGCUGAGACGCGAAAGCGUGGGUAGCAAACAGGAUUAGAUACCCUGGUAGUCCACGCCGUAAACGAUGAGAACUAGGUGUUGCGGGUAUUGACCCCUGCAGUGCCGUAGCUAACGCAUUAAGUUCUCCGCCUGGGAGUACGGUCGCAAGACUAAAACUC